GUGGGGAAUAUUGGACAAUGGGCGAAAGCCUGAUCCAGCCAUGCCGCGUGUGUGAAGAAGGUCUUCGGAUUGUAAAGCACUUUAAGUUGGGAGGAAGGGCAGUAAGUUAAUACCUUGCUGUUUUGACGUUACCGACAGAAUAAGCACCGGCUAACUUCGUGCCAGCAGCCGCGGUAAUACGAAGGGUGCAAGCGUUAAUCGGAAUUACUGGGCGUAAAGCGCGCAUAGGUGGUUUUGUAAGUUGGAGGUGAAAUCCCCGGGCUCAACCUGGGAACUGCCUCCAAAACUGCAUGACUAGAGUACGGUAGAGGGUAGUGGAAUUUCCUGUGUAGCGGUGAAAUGCGUAGAUAUAGGAAGGAACACCAGUGGCGAAGGCGACUACCUGGACUGAUACUGACACUGAGGUGCGAAAGCGUGGGGAGCAAACAGGAUUAGAAACCCGGGUAGUCC
rnacentral:rRNA from 1 species